rnacentral:lncRNA from 10 species
GGUGAGGCAGGCUGUGGGCAGGGCUUCAGAGCCGCGCAGGCAGGGGCAUGGGUGGGCGUGGCUGCGUCUUAUAGGCUGAGCCACUGGCUGUGCCCCUGAGCUGAGCUGGGUGAGUACUCUAGGCAUUCCUGGCAGAGGAUACAGCAGGAGCAAAGGCCUGGAGGCUAAAAAUAGCUUGCGGGCAGGGGAGCUACCAGCAGUUCAGUGCUUCUGGAGUUUAAAGAGCCCGGCGAGGGUCAUGUCAGAUGACGCCGGUCCACGAGAAGGAGGGUGGAUUAUAUCCUUAGAGACGCCAUAGAGUGAGGAUAUAAUGGCUCUGUAACAAGCAUAAACUGUGAUGGUCUGGGAUGCCCUCGUCAUAGACAGCCCCUGGAGAGUCAUCUCAGGCCCAGAGGGGUCCUACCCGCAGCCUCUGGGGCAGCUGAAUGCGCCCAAAGCCUCUGACAUCUUUCUACACAUCUGGGGUGUGUGGCAACCCUGUCCCGGUCCUCCCACCUGCCUGCAGGCAGGAUGAGUCAUGGCUGAACAGAAGCCAUGGGAAGCAGAGGCAGAGGCGAGCAGACUUCAGGAAACGUGCCCACCUCGGGAAUGGGAACAAGGAAGUCACCCCUCCCGCUCUCCUCCCCCUGCUCUUCUUGGCCUUGGCAGGUUCAGCAGCUUGUCGAUUACAAAGCUGUUCAUGCCCAAUAAUGUAUUUGUUCCUAUAAGAUCUUAUAGCCAGGAAGGAAAGAGUCAUUAGCUCCAUUUUACUGAUGAAAAAAUUGAGGCAUAGAAAAGAAAAAAAAUGCUUAGAAGCUGGGGUGAAAAAAAUGAAGUUUCCUGAUGAUUCAGUUUGACAUCCUUCUCUACCCACCUCCAUCCAGCACCGCCUCCCACCCAGCUGCCUCAUGCACUUGACUUCCAGGG